AGGUUAGUGGGCUACAACACAUUUCGCUUUGGCAGCACACAAACUUUGACUUAGGUUCACGUUGAAAGACACUAAAAGUGGAACAAAACGAUUGCAGCACGCACUGCCGGAGGCAAUUUCCUCCCGCCGCCACCGCCGCAUUUCCUGCCAUAUGAGAAGAAUGGACUCUUACUCUUGCUCUUGCUCUCGAUCCAUUCCACCUCUUCUCCUUCAUGUCCUUCAUGCACAUGCAAAAUUAUGCCAAAGAAGGAGGAGUCGACGGUGGUGAUGCCAAGGCUCAUUAAAAUGUAUGCCAAACCGAAAAAAAGGUAGAGGAGAGGAAAGAAAGUGAAAGAAAACAAUAUGCAUAUCGCUGGCAAGGACAUUGUGUGUGUUUGUGUGUGCGCUGCUGGAGUGGAGGUGGGUUACCAGGGGCGUAAUCGUGCGUGUAAUAAACGAUAAUCCAUUAUAUAUCAAUUUUUAUCGCACUCGAGGAAAGGACUAAGAGCAUUGUCGUGUGGGGUAUCAUUUAUGGCCUUGACAGGGGGGCCAAAAGCUGCUGUCCACUUGAAGGGAGAAAGGCGGCAAAGUGCCGCAAUGAAGUUUCUCCGCUGCAUUCAACCUUGGUAGAAGCUUAAUUCUGAUUCAGUAUGGAUUUAUGUAGAUAUUUAUGGGGAUGGGGGUUAUGUAGCGAU